GUGGGGAAUAUUGGACAAUGGGCGCAAGCCUGAUCCAGCCAUGCCGCGUGAGUGAUGAAGGCCUUAGGGUUGUAAAGCUCUUUUGUCCGGGAAGAUAAUGACUGUACCGGAAGAAUAAGCCCCGGCUAACUUCGUGCCAGCAGCCGCGGUAAUACGAAGGGGGCUAGCGUUGUUCGGAAUCACUGGGCGUAAAGAGCACGUAGGCGGACCAUUAAGUCAGGGGUGAAAGCCUGGAGCUCACCUCCAGAACUGCCUUUGAUACUGAUGGUCUCGAGUAUGGAAGAGGUUGGUGGAACUGCGAGUGUAGAGGUGAAAUUCGUAGAUAUUCGCAAGAACACCGGUGGCGAAGGCGGCCAACUGGUCCAUUACUGACACUGAGGUGCGAAAGCGUGGGGAGCAAACAGGAUUAGAUACCCCUGUAGUCC
rnacentral:rRNA from 1 species